AUUGAACGCUGGCGGCAGGCCUAACACAUGCAAGUCGAACGAGUGGCGGACGGGUGAGUAAUGUCUGGGAAACUGCCUGAUGGAGGGGGAUAACUACUGGAAACGGUAGCUAAUACCGCAUACCAUCAGAUGUGCCCAUAUGGGCUUAGCUAGUUGGGGGGGUAACGGCUCACCAAGGCGACGAUCCCUAGCUGGUCUGAGAGGAUUACCAGCCACACUGGAACUGAGACACGGGCCAGACGCCUACGGGAGGCAGCAGUGGGGAAUAUUGGACAAUGGGCUCAAGCUUGAUUCAGCCAUGCCGCGUGGAUGAAGAAGGCCUUCGGGUUGUAAAGUACUUUCAGCGGGGAGGCGUUACCCGCAGAAGAAGCACCGGCUAACUCCGUGCCAGCAGCCGCGGUAAUAC
rnacentral:rRNA from 1 species